rnacentral:rRNA from 1 species
GUGGGGAAUUUUGGACAAUGGGCGCAAGCCUGAUCCAGCAAUGCCGCGUGCAGGAAGAAGGCCUUCGGGUUGUAAACUGCUUUUGUACGGAACGAAACGGUCCUGGCUAAUACCUGGGGCUAAUGACGGUACCGUAAGAAUAAGCACCGGCUAACUACGUGCCAGCAGCCGCGGUAAUACGUAGGGUGCGAGCGUUAAUCGGAAUUACUGGGCGUAAAGCGUGCGCAGGCGGUGCUGUAAGACAGGCGUGAAAUCCCCGGGCUCAACCUGGGAGUUGCGCUUGUGACUGCAGUGCUGGAGUGCGGCAGAGGGGGAUGGAAUUCCGCGUGUAGCAGUGAAAUGCGUAGAUAUGCGGAGGAACACCGAUGGCGAAGGCAAUCCCCUGGGCCUGCACUGACGCUCAUGCACGAAAGCGUGGGGAGCAAACAGGAUUAGAAACCCGUGUAGUCC